GAGAUUCCCCCAGUAGCGGCGAGCGAACGGGGAGCAGCCCAGAGCCUGAAUCAGUGUGUGUGUUAGUGGAAGCGUCUGGAAAGGCGCGCGAUACAGGGUGACAGCCCCGUACACAAAAAUGCACAUACUGUGAGCUCGAUGAGUAGGGCGGGACACGUGGUAUCCUGUCUGAAUAUGGGGGGACCAUCCUCCAAGGCUAAAUACUCCUGACUGACCGAUAGUGAACCAGUACCGUGAGGGAAAGGCGAAAAGAAC
rnacentral:rRNA from 1 species